GAUCUGAUGCCCUCUUCUGGCCUCUACAGGCACACUACCCACCACAUAAAAUAAAAUUAAAUUAAUCUUAAAAAAAAAAAAUCUAAGGUAUCACAGAUGUAGCCCUUCAGGUUGUCUAUAACAAUUUUGAAUGAUAGGUUGCAUAUAAUAAUAUAUAGGCAGAUUAGUGGCUCUGGGCUGGGGUACUUGUUUGAGCAUGCCUAGUACAGAGUCUUUGAAAAGCUUUCAGGGAGAGAAAAUAAUAGUAUGUGUUGUGUCUACCUGUGUAAUUCGCAUCAUUUCAAACAGCACUAUGUUGUUUUGUUUUAAGUGCAUCUGCACAGGGCUGGGGAUGUAGCUUGGUCAGCAGCGUGCUUGUCUAGUGUUCAUGAGGACCUCAAUUUAAUUCCUAGCAUCCAUAAAAAUGGGGUGUGGUAGCAUAUGCUUAUAGUCUCAGUGCUCUGGAAACGGAGGCAGGAGGAUCAGUGGUUCAGGGUAAUCAUCAGCUACAGAGUAUGAAUCCAUCUUGGGCUACACAAAACCCUGUCCAAAAAAACCCCCC
rnacentral:lncRNA from 1 species